rnacentral:rRNA from 1 species
UUGGAGGGCAAGUCUGGUGCCAGCAGCCGCGGUAAUUCCAGCUCCAAUAGCGUAUAUUAAAGUUGUUGCAGUUAAAAAGCUCGUAGUUGAACUUCGGGAUCAAUGGAUCGGUCAUGCCGUUGGUAUGUACUGGUCACACUGGUUCUCACCUUCUAAGGAACCAUGAUGUCAUUUAUUUGAUGUUGUGGGGAAUUAGGACUGUUACCUUGAAAAAAUUAGAGUGUUUAAAGCAGGCUAACGCUUGAAUACAUUAGCAUGGAAUAAUGAAAUAGGACAUCCGAUUCUAUUUUGUUGGUUUCUAGGAUCGAUGUAAUGAUUAAUAGGGAUAGGUUGGGGGCAUUAGUAUUCAAUUGUCAGAGGU